CCUACGGGUGGCAGCAGUGAGGAAUAUUGGUCAAUGGACGAGAGUCUGAACCAGCCAAGUAGCGUGAAGGAUGACUGCCCUAUGGGUUGUAAACUUCUUUUAUAUGGGAAUAAAACGUUCCACGUGUGGGAUUUUGUAUGUACCAUAUGAAUAAGGAUCGGCUAACUUCGUGCCAGCAGCCGCGGUAAUACGGAGGAUCCGAGCGUUAUCCGGAUUUAUUGGGUUUAAAGGGAGCGUAGGUGGAUUGUUAAGUCAGUUGUGAAAGUUUGCGGCUCAACCGUAGAAUUGCAGUUGAAACUGGCAGUCUUGAGUACAGUAGAGGUGGGCGGAAUUCGUGGUGUAGCGGUGAAAUGCUUAGAUAUCACGAAGAACUCCGAUUGCGAAGGCAGUUCACUGGACUGCAACUGACACUGAGGCUCGAAAGUGUGGGUAUCAAACAGGAUUAGAUACCCGUGUAGUC
rnacentral:rRNA from 1 species